rnacentral:rRNA from 1 species
UACGUAGGUGGCAAGCGUUGUCCGGAUUUACUGGGCGUAAAGGGCGUGCAGGCGGUUUGUUAAGUGCAGGGUGAAAGCUCCCGGCUCAACUGGGAGAGGUCCUUGCAUACUGGCAAACUCGAGGGAGGCAGAGGAAAGUGGAAUUCCCGGUGUAGUGGUGAUAUGCGUAGAUAUCGGGAGGAACACCUGUGGCGAAGGCGACUUUCUGGCCUGUUCUUGACGCUGAGGCGCGAAAGCUAGGGGAGCAAACGGG